GACGAACGCUGGCGGCGUGCCUAAUACAUGCAAGUCGAACGCAUUUUCUUUCACCGUAGCUUGCUACACCGAAAGAAAAUGAGUGGCGAACGGGUGAGUAACACGUGGGUAACCUGCCCAUCAGCGGGGGAUAACACUUGGAAACAGGUGCUAAUACCGCAUAAUUCCAUUUACUGCAUGGUAGAUGGAUGAAAGGCGCUUUUGCGUCACUGAUGGAUGGACCCGCGGUGCAUUAGCUAGUUGGUGGGGUAACGGCCUACCAAGGCUGCGAUGCAUAGCCGACCUGAGAGGGUGAUCGGCCACACUGGGACUGAGACACGGCCCAGACUCCUACGGGAGGCAGCAGUAGGGAAUCUUCGGCAAUGGACGCAAGUCUGACCGAGCAACGCCGCGUGAGUGAAGAAGGGUGUCGGAUCGUAAAACUCUGUUGUUAGAAAAGAACAAGGAUGAGAGUGGAAAGUUCAUCCCUUGACGGUAUCUAACCAGAAAGCCACGGCUAACUACGUG
rnacentral:rRNA from 1 species